GGGCCGUUAGCUCAAUUGGUAGAGCAGCUGACUCUUAAUCAGUAGGUUGGAGGUUCGAGUCCUCCACGGCCCACCA
rnacentral:tRNA from 2 species